rnacentral:rRNA from 1 species
AACACAUGCAAGUCGAACGGGGAUCGUCGGGUUAGCAAUAACUCGGCGGUCCUAGUGGCGCACGGGUGAGUAACACGUGGGUGACCUGCCCUGUAGUACGGAAUAACUCUGGGAAACCAAAGCUAAUACCGUAUGUGCUAGCCUUUUCAUUUGGGUUAGUAAAGAUUUAUCGCUACAGGAGGGGCCUGCGCCAGAUUAGCUAGUCGGUGGGGUAACGGCCUACCGAGGCGACGAUCUGUAGCUGGUCUGAGAGGACGACCAGCCACACUGGGACUGAGACACGGCCCAGACUCCUACGGGAGGCAGCAGUAAGGAAUAUUCCACAAUGGGCGAAAGCCUGAUGGAGCGACGCCGCGUGAGCGAAGAAGCCCUUUGGGGUGUAAAGCUCUUUUUGGUGGGAUGAUAAUGACAGUACCACCAGAAUAAGCCCCGGCUAACUACGUGCCAGCAGCCGCCGUAACAC